rnacentral:rRNA from 1 species
AGGGGAAACCUGAUCCAUCCAUGCCGCGUGAGUAAGAAGGCCUUCGGGUUGUAAAGCUCUUUCGGCUGGGAAGAAAUCGCACAGGCUAAUACUCUGUGUGGAUGACGGUACCAGCAUAAGAAGCACCGGCUAACUACGUGCCAGCAGCCGCGGUAAUACGUAGGGUGCGAGCGUUAAUCGGAAUUACUGGGCGUAAAGCGUGCGCAGGCGGUUGUGCAAGACAGAUGUGAAAUCCCCGGGCUCAACCUGGGAACUGCAUUUGUGACUGCACGACUAGAGUACGGCAGAGGGGGGUAGAAUUCCACGUGUAGCAGUGAAAUGCGUAGAGAUGUGGAGGAAUACCGAUGGCGAAGGCAGCCCCCUGGGCCGAUACUGACGCUCAUGCACGAAAGCGUGGGGAGCAAACAGGAUUAGAUACCCUGGUAGUCCACGCCCUAAACGAUGUCAACUAGUUGUUGGUAGGGUUAAACCUAUUAGUAACGUAGCUAACGCGUGAAGUUGACCGCCUGGGGAGUACGGUCGCAAGAUUAAAACUCAAAGGAAUUGACGGGGACCCGCACAAGCGGUGGAUGAUGUGGAUUAAUUCGAUGCAACGCGAAAAAUCUUACCUACCCUUGACAUGUCAGGAAUCCCGAAGAGAUUUGGGAGUGCCGCAAGG